rnacentral:sRNA from 1 species
GGAGUUAAAGAGCAGCCUGGGCAACAUGGCGCGACCCCAUCUCUGUAGUCCCACCUCAGCUUCCCAGAUACUUGAACCCUAAGGUUCAAGGCUGCAAUGAGCUAUGAUCCCAUCACAGCACUCCAUCCUGCGAGACGGAGAGACGGGGUUUCACCAUGUUGGCCAGGCUGGUCUGGAACUCCUGACUUGAAGUGAUCUGCCCACCUCGGCUUCCCAAAGUGCUGGGAUUACAGGCGUGAGCCACUGCGCCUGGCCCCUUCAGGUGGGUAUUGAGGCUUCACUACAAUACUAGUUCCCCGUUGCUGCCGCAAUAAAUUGCCACACACUUAGUGGCUUAAAACAGCACAGAGGUAUUCCUUUACAUUUCUGAAGGCCAGAAUUCUAAAGUCAGUCCCACUGAGUCAACGUGGGAGCAGGGUCAGUGCCUUCCCAGGCUCUGCGGGAGAAUCUGUUUCCUGGCCCUGGAGGCGGCCUGUACUCCUCAGCUUGUGCUGCCCUUCUCGAAUGACUCGCGUUUCCUGCUUUCAUCACUACACCUCCCACCGCUCUCCAUCACCUGCUCUGCUCUUAUAAGGAUCCAGAGAAAUGGAAUAAUCUUAUUGCUGAUCUAUGUAAACAAGUUGAAGAAUUGUCUGAAAGAAAAUAUGGUGUGUCUAAACUGGAAAAGUCCUGUAAUACUUUGUUCAUAAGCAUUUACACAAUGGAGUUACUGUUCAUCAUGGGGGUACUGUGGACAAGCCCAGGGCUGCUGUAGAGACAGAGUUUUUCCAUGUAGGCCAGGCUGGCCUCAAACUCCUGACCUCAAGUGAUCCACCUGCCUCCCAAAGUGGGAUUACAGAUACAUGAAGUUAUGAAUUUAAGAUGUGAAGAUUUACAGCUUGAUAAACCAGCUUCAGGAGACAUGAUCUUAUGAAUUCAACACAUGAAGAUUUACAACUUGAUAAACCAGCUUCAGGAGAUCAGAACUUCUUACAAUACAGCUGACGUUACUCAGCCUAGAACAAAUACAACAGGGAUUGUGCUGCAUUCUGACUUGGAUUCUGCCAUCGAACACAGAAUGCCCUGAUUCUUAGAUGCAGAGGCAGCUCUUCAGCCUAUGGGACUCCAGCGGGAGGAAGAAGAGGCCUUUGCCAGCAGUCAGAGCAGCCAAGGGGCCCAAUCCCUCACAUUCUCCAAGUUUGAAGGAAAGAAAACCAACAAGAAGACCCGCAAGGUUACCACAGUGAAGAAAUCUUCAGUACGUCUUCCAGGGUCGGAUCAAAGAAGGCAGAAAUUCAGGAAGCAAAAGCUCCCAGUCCUUCCAUAAACCGGCAAACCAGCAUUGAAACGGAUAGAGUGUCUAAGGAGUUCAUAGAAUUUCUCAAGACCUUCCGCAAGACAGGCCAAGAAAUGUAUAAACAGACCAAGCUGUUUUUGGAAGGGAUGCAUUACAAAAAGAGCCCUGCACUGGGUUACACCUCAGAUGCUGUGUGUCCCUGUUAAUGAAGACAUCCCAGAAGUGUCUGAUAUGGUGUUGAAGGCAAUCACAGUUGCAGAGUUUUGAUGGAGAGAUAUUUGCAGUUGAUGUGGAAAUUGCCAAACAAUCUGUGACUAUCAAGACCACGUUGGAAGAUUUGGGAAUGGAUGAUGAAGGAGAUGACCCAGUUCCUCUACCAAAUGUGAAUGCAGCAGUAUUAAAAAAGGUCAUUCAGUGGUGCACCCACCACAAGGAUGACCCUCCUCCCCCUGAAGAUGAUGAGAACAAAGAAAAGCAAACAGACGAUAUCCCUGUUUGGGACCAAGAAUUCCUGAAAGUUGCUCAAGGAACACUUUUUGAACUCAUUCUGGCUGCAAACUACUUAGACAUCAAAGGUUUGCUUGAUGUUACAUGCAAGACUGUUGCCAAUAUGAUCAAGGGGAAAACUCCUGAGGAGAUUCGCAAGACAUUCAAUAUCAAAAAUGACCUUACUGAAGAGGAGGAAGCCCAGGUACGGAAAGAGAACCAGUGGUGUGAAGAGAAGUGAAAUGUUGUGCCUGACACUGUAACACUGUAAGGAUUGUUCCAAAUACUAGUUGCACUGCUCUGUUUAUAAUUGUUAAUAUUAGACAAACAGUAGACAAAAGCAGCGGCAAGUCAAUUGUAUUAGCAGAAUAUUGUCCUCAUUGCAUGUGCAGUUUGAGUACAGAUUCCAAACCUAUGGCUGAGUUUCUUCUAGUAUGAUCAAAAGUUUCUUUUUUUUUUUUUUGCUCUGAAUAAAACUGAACUGUGGGUUCUCUAUAA